rnacentral:autocatalytically_spliced_intron from 1 species
UUGAGCCGGUUGCCCGGAAAGCGGGCAUGGCCGGUUCUGAGGGGGCCCCGGCGCAGCAAUGCGCCGGGGCUACCCGACGAACUGGUCUUUUCGAUCCUGAC